UACGUAGGGUGCGAGCGUUAAUCGGAAUUACUGGGCGUAAAGGGUGCGCAGGCGGCCGCGCAAGUCGAGUGUGAAAGCCCCGGGCUCAACCUGGGAACUGCAUUCGAGACUGCAUUACUCGAGUUUGGGAGAGGGCAGUGGAAUUUCGGGUGUAGCGGUGAAAUGCGUAGAUAUCCGAAGGAACAUCAGUGGCGAAAGCGACUGCCUGGCCCAAAACUGACACUCAAGUGCGAAAGCGUGGGGAGCAAACAGG
rnacentral:rRNA from 1 species